UACGGAGGGUGCGAGCGUUGUCCGGAAUCACUGGGCGUAAAGGGCGCGUAGGCGGCCUGAUAAGUAGGGGGUGAAAUCCUGCGGCUUAACCGCAGGGCUGCCUUCUAAACUGUCAGGCUAGAGCACAGUAGAGGCAGGUGGAAUUCCCGGUGUAGUGGUGAGAUGCGUAGAUAUCGGGAGGAACACCAGUGGCGAAGGCGACUUCCUGGCCUGUUCUUGACGCUGAGGCGCGAAAGCUAGGGGAGCAAACGGG
rnacentral:rRNA from 1 species